rnacentral:rRNA from 1 species
CAGCCGCCGGCGGUAAUACGGAGGGGACUAGCGUUGUUCGGAAUUGCUGGGCGUAAAGCGCACGUAGGCGGCUUGGUAAGUUAGAGGUGAAAGCCCGGAGCUCAACUCCGGAAUUGCCUUUAAGACUGCCGAGCUAGUAGGUGAGAGAGGUAAGUGGAAUUCCGAGUGUAGAGGUGAAAUUCGUAGAUAUUCGGAAGAACACCAGUGGCGAAGGCGGCUUACUGGCUCAUUCUAGACGCUGAGGUGCGAAAGCGUGGGGAGCAAACAGGAUUAGAUACCCGCGUAGUCCCUGUCUCUUAUA